GCUCCUUGCCGGUGACGCGGCCACGGCACAGACGAGGCCCAGCCCUGGCGGCAUGCGUGACGGCCCGGGGCGAGCUCGUCGCGGGCGCCGGCAUCUACGAGGGCGGCCCGCGCGCCGCCUCACACCUCCUGCUCCGCGCGGGCGGCCCGGCCCCAGCGCGACCUCGUCGCAGGCAAGUUGUACCCCCAUGUGGCGUGUCCUCCGGAUCGGCGCGGCCAGCCUGCAGAUUCGGCGGCGCCGCCACGCCGCAGGGUCCUCGCAAAGACGAGACGACUGGCCAAGCGCUGCGUCGCGGAGACUGUCGCGGCCCGGAAGCGCACCCGCCAGCUGCUCGGCACCGCGUCUGCGUUCCACUUGCUGGAGGCGGAGGCCAGGAACGCCAAGAUGAGGCCCCCCACGCAUGUCCAGCCGCUGUCCAAGAAGAAGACCCCGAAGAGCAGCGACUCUAACAGAGACAGGGAUAAGCAGCUCAAGCUCACAAUGCCAUGCAGCUGCCGCUGCAGCAGACACCUCGACACCAUCCGCCACGCCAUCAUCCCAGGAUAACAAGAAGGCUAUGAAACAGGAGGCGCAAGAUAUGUGGUUACAGAUAUCCCAGUUUCUUUUCCACGUAUGCUUUGAUGGUUAAAGAACAUGAUCGUUUUUUGUAUGAAGGAAUCUCUCUUCAAAUCAGCUGCUGAUAAUGCCAAACUGAAUUCUGGACACAUGCCACCCAGCUCUGUUAGGAAGUAUGACGAAGUUAUUCAUGCACUAAAACAAAUAUUUGGGUCGUCUUUACAGGUAGAAACAAUUACGACAGGAAUAUCAUGCUUAUGAAUUUGUGUUAGUAUUCAUUCAUGUAAGAAAAAGAUCUUUUGUAAGUAUGCAAAUUAUGAAGCAACAGGUUUCCUCAUACGAGAUUGACUCCAAGGCUGUGGUUGUGUAUAUCUGAAGCAUAUGUAUAUCUCAAGGUGCUAUGUUCUUUAUGCCUUACAAAUUUUAUGGCCAAACAAGAAGGCAGACUCAAAAAAGACAUAGAAGCACAUGUAUUUAAAGAAAAUGCUACUCAUAUGUAAUUCACAGUUUUGACAGACCAACACAGACCUAAAAUAUUAUUUAUAACUGUACUAAUUAUAAACUGGUCUACAGGUCAUGGCGCGGUGUUACCGCGCCGGUAUUUCUAGUUGAAUCCUAAUUCCUAAACCGCCCCCUCCACUAGAGAGCCGUCACCCCGAUCCCAUCUCGCCUCCCUGACUUCCUCCAUGGAUCUCGCGCACCUCGUCCUCCCCGGCACCUCUAUCCUCUCGUGGCUCAGCCUCCCUCCCCGACCUUCGCCACGCGGGCGAGCGUGCGGCUCGCCGGCUCCUAUCCGGCCUCUUCCUCGCCCGGCGGAUCCAUCCUACCCCACGGCCUCCUCCUCACCCGGCGGCGCGGCCCUCCUCCUCCCUUGUGUGGACGGCUCCCCGCUGGUGUGCUCUUGCACGGCACGUGCAGGUGCCCGGCAUUGAGGCUUGUCGUAUGGCCGGAUAAGUUGCUACGCGAGCCCAAGAUAGAAGAUACUAGAGAGGCAGCUGAUGUCAACAGCUAUGCUGCCAAAUUCUCCUGGUGAUAAAUUGGGAAAAUGAUUGAUCCUGGUGUAUAUAUAGCUGAAACAGAUUGCUGCAAGAAGCAUUGACCAAAGUGAAGACCAACAUUUGAGAAAAGUGUUCUUCCUAAUGCGAGUGAUACCCGAUCGUUUUAGACUGCUGAAAAGAGUGUCGACCCAAAGUUCCUUCUAUAUGCAAGCUAUGCAAAGUGUUCAGAAUAGUGUUACUUCUACUCCCAGUAAAACCCCAUCACAUCAGGUAAAAAAUUAAAAUAUUCAUUACACCCAUGAUGGAAUAUCAGUUUAGUUCCUAUCACAUUUUUUCCUAUGCACUGCUGCCAAAAGCACCAUCCGAGGAAAAGCAACACCAAACAUACAGAAAACUGCUACCAAAACUCCAGCUUCUAAGGCGACGCGAAGUGUUUCUCAGAACAAUAAAAAUUAUAUUUCUAGGGUUCAACUUAUGAAUGCUGCUACCAAACGUGUAUGGACAAGAAGCUAGAAGGUAUGAAAUGCAAAUCUCAUUUAUUCCGGUGGCACUAUACAUCUGACAGCCAAUUCAUGUUGGUGGCAAAGAGGUAGUAUUUGUACACCCUCUUUGGCAGCAGAACCAUACCGAGUUUUAUCUAGUUGGAAUUUUUGUUAUAAGCUCCGCCUACCAAUUUGAUCAUAGUUCAGAGUUCACUCAUCUAGUAAAAUUGAUUACUGAAUUGUGAUCUGAAUUUCAUUCUCUACCACUGGAUCGGAUUAGCACAUCCAGAAUUCCACCACUUGUUAUUUCCAUGAAAAAUAUUUAUAUUUUCAUUUACAUAAAAAAGGCAGCAAACUGUAGUACACAAAGGAGGUUAUUUUUGUUUGCCUAAACCAUUACUGUACAUUAUGAUAUGAUACAACACUAUGGUCAUCAUAAAUCAACUAUCUAAUCAAUGUUGUGGUGUUUGUAAUUUUUAAAUCUUUAUAGGCUCAUAUGGCUUUGUAUCGAAUUGUAACCCCUUUUUAUAUGCAACCUAUCUACUGCCCAUAGAUGUGAUGUAUCAUAUAUAAUAAUGUGAGAAGUAAUUACUGUUUAUUUAUAAUAAACUAAUCAGCCUUUGUUAUUCUUGUGACAACAUAUGUGGCUGUGUUCCGGUUUAAAAAAAAUUAUGUCUGGCUGUGACUUGCUACUGAAAUUUUCUAAUGCAUAUUAUUCUUUUUAAUUCUGCAGGAAACUUAAACUUGAAUGGAUCAAUCGUACUUGGAGCCAUGCCAUUGUCAAUACAAGGAGUUAUCAAAUAUCGAACAAUAUUUUCUGUAGCCUACUUAGGAUGUGGUUGCGUUCGCACAACACUAUGUUCAAUUUGGAUCCAUGUAUUCGUCACUUUACAUACUAUCUACUUUCUCAUGAAAUAUUUUCAAUUCGGAUAAUGUAUUGGGCACGUAUAUUUAUGGCUUCAAAUCAUAUUCAUUCUGAUUGA